rnacentral:rRNA from 1 species
UACGGAGGGUGCAAGCGUUGUUCGGAAUUACUGGGCGUAAAGCGCGUGUAGGCGGCCUUUUAAGUCUGAUGUGAAAGCCCGAGGCUCACCCUCGGAAGUGCAUUGGAUACUGGGAGGCUGGAGUACCGGAGAGGAGGGUGGAAUUCCUGGUGUAGCGGUGAAAUGCGUAGAUAUCAGGAGGAACACCAGUGGCGAAGGCGGCCCUCUGGACGGAUACUGACGCUGAGACGCGACAGCGUGGGGAGCAAACAGG